GCUGUGGUAAUGGGGUGGUGGGGUACACAAAAGCAGAAAUCGCACUUCACACAUUUAGGCCUCAUUUAGACAAUGAGGAGGCUGAGCCUGUCCCUCCACCUCCCAUUGCAAUGGUUGGGGCAAUAACCCUCCCUAAUCCUAGCUCAGUGAGUAGAGGGAGUGACCUCCCUACCCAGGAAGUCCCCAUUUUGGUUGCAAUGGCCCAGGUCCUGACCAUCCCACUCUGUACUUCCCUGCUCCAUCUCCCCA
rnacentral:lncRNA from 1 species